UGCAUUUUAGUUUGAUGAUGAAUGGCUGAAAUGUCAGGCAGCGGUAGAACUAAUGUUGUAUGUGCGUAAGGCACCUGUACGAUCAGAUGGUUUAAAUUAAAUAAAGAUAUAAAAAAUAAAUAAAAUUCAUUAAGAGUGUCACAAAAAAGUGUGUAGCCUUGUUGCACAGUUUUGUUUGUUUGUUUGUUUUUUCACCACUUUGUUAAUCUUUUAAUUAUAUUAUAGCCUAUUAUAUAUUUUGUCGUGUUCCUGUUUACUUUCACAGAAGCGCUGCAGGUGCAUGAUGCAACGAUUGAAUCCUCAUGGUCUUGUUUAUGGUGCUAUUCGUGCAUAUAAAGCUAAAGCCCUGUAUACCCCCCCCCCCCAAAAAAAAAGGACAUUCUAAUCUUACUGGUUAACGAUCAACUAAUGAGCUUCGUUUGAUGAUCAGGAAAACAUAAAAGAACAAAAUGCUGUCAUUCUACAAUUCUCCACCGUAUUUACUAUGCUGGGCGCAAGUUUAGGUAACUCAAAAACUUGUGCACAUGAGCUUAGACCAGAUGUGAGAUUCGAUCGUAACCAUCGCUCAUGUCCUUAUUGAUAAAUUCCAAGUUUUGCAUUAAAACAACCUUACGCCCAAUUGUUUGCCGUCCGUUUGUUUCGUAAAUAAAGCCCACGGCUUGGGGGUUUUCUAGUUACAGAAUCCCGAAUUACUCCAUUGCCACUUCGCUUAUAAUGAAUCCAGACCAGAACAAAGAAAUCUCCAAAUUAGCUGCAAAAACAUUAAAGACCUUUUGGUUGGUCAGGAUCUGUGACACGUCUAGGUUUGUCAACAUGUGUUUCUGCUUAAGCAGUGGAGAAACUGCAGUGAUGAGGAGUAUGGCCAUCCAUCAUCCACUGGUUGUUGUAUAAGUUAACCCUUCCUCCCUUGCAUUCCCACGGUCAUCAAUCAGCGUUACAGUAGUGAUGACACUCUGAUGUGAUUUCUCAUCAAUAUCACAUCCAAAAACUGCUGAACCUUUAAAACGGCUUGAUAAGAUGAAGGGGAGGAAGAGGAUGAAAGGAGAGAGACAUAGAGGAAAGACGGGCCUAGGGAUCUUCAUUGUCUGCUGUAGAUCCUCUUGAAGUAUUAGCUCCAGUUCUGUUUCACUUGCAUGGAAUUAUUUGUUGACGA
ensembl:lncRNA